AUGUAUUCAAAACUGGAAUAGAUUGGCCGAUUCGAUUAUUCGACCAAAUAAUGCAGGUCCAAUCCAGGUAGGACUGUGAAAGCAACCAUGGUCGUAGUUGGGAUGAAACUGGCCUUAACCCUGUUGAUCUGACCAAACCCUGUGUUCAACCGGGUCAAAUAGUUGGGGAGUUUCUCCCCUCAUUCAUCCCCUCUAAAGCAAUCUGGUUGCCUCGUCUACCUUAUAAAAUCUCUUUCUUUUGUUGGAUGGUAGCUUGGAAUAAGAUUCUUACUUUUGAGGAUCUCAGGAUAUGGAAUUUCAUUCUUACGAUUGGUGUUAAAUGUGAGUGGAGGAGAUUUUUUGGGUCCUGUACUUCCUGUUGUUGCUGAGAUAUGUACUGACUUUAAUCCCUCAAUAGACAUGGAGCCAUCUCUUUCAAAGUUAUUUCGAGACUUAUGGUUCUAUAUAGCUCUUGUUGGUCUAAUAUAGGAAGCAUAAGUGCAAUUCCUCUAUAGGUUGUGGGUGGACCAUACAUGUGGAAUGCACAGUGGUCUGCUGCUGUCGAGAAAAUUGCUCAAGGGAAUCCUCACCUUGUGUAAAAGCCACAUAUCUUCUUGCAGUAGCGUUUUUGGAAUAUACGAUUUAGUAGCAAGGUGGCAUUCUCAAUGGAAGUGAAACCUUGACCUCUUCUAGAAGUGCAUUCUGUUGUGUCUUUAAAUACAUAAAAAUGCCAAAUCUUAUGCCCGCUGUCUCCCAGUGUCUCAUAGCAAUUGUCCAUCCGGCAUUUGAAACAGCAGUGUCAUGGCUGGUAUUGGUUUACUUACUUUUUUUUUUGGAAAUGAGACUCCCUUCUAAAUCAUUUACCUAUGCAAUUUCAUUAUAUGAGGAUAUCUUGGUGCUGCUUUUCAAUAGAUUGUUUAAUUUUGUUUAUGCUCUCUUCUUGAGGAAUUAUAAGUAUACUGAUAAAUUUGUUUGUAGUUUUGAUAAAUUCAUUUAUUUUGUAGUUGCAACUUGCUUGUAGGUUCUAGACUUCUAAUUUUCUGCAAGAUUGUCGUCUGGGUGGGGCCUCAGAUUAACUUGGGAAAUAGCAGGUUGGUUAUGCUGAGGAAUUGCAGUGAUGAAGGCGAAUUAGAGAGCACCAUGGUACUAGGUAUAUUAGGAUCAGAGGGAAGUGCCAUGUCUGUUGGGGCUGUGUAGACACAGACUAAAAAUUUUGCAGCCUGCCUUAUUACAUCUUCAGGUCUCUCUUUUCCUGAGGAAGAUUCUCAUGAAGCCUAAUCUAGUUGGAGGGGCUUAUAAGGCUAGCUUAUUACUCUGAGUGAUGAUUUUGCCUUCUUUGGAAGAGCUAAUAAAUUCAGGACCACUAUUCAGCAUUCUUUUGGGAUAUCUUACUAAUUGGAAAAAGGCUGGGUUAUCUGUUUGAAAUUCUGUAAUUAUCACUGUGAUGAAAUUCUUCCACAUUAGUCAAAGUGGUGCUGCCCCUCUCUCUAAACACAUACACACACAUGCAGCUCUAUGCAGAUCCAAUGUACUUUGCCUAUCCAGCCACUUGUUUGUUACCUAUCUAUGUGGAGCUGCCUGUUUAUUUGUUGUUCUUUAGGUGAAAAUUAGUGAUCAUUUACUUUGGGUUCUGGAACAUCGGAUAUCUGACACAGGCCUUGGGGCAGUGACACGAGAUUCAACUCUCUAUGUGCAUGCCUGUUUUCUCAUAAAUAGUAUGUCUGAUGGGAGGAGUGCAUUCGUGCUUAUGAUGUUUACUUGUUAAAAUCAGCUUAGAGACAAGUUUCCGCAGGUAAGCUGGUGCCGUAAAACUUUCUUAAUCUUUUAGUUCUAUUAUGUCUGAUACUCUCUUUGUUCGCACGGAUAGCUUAACAAACAGAUUACAUGCGUGUAGGGUCUGUGGAAUUCAUCUUGUCUAGAUUCCCUGUUGUUUUUGGUCGACGAUGGUUCAUUCUCUGCCCUUGUGAUUGAUCCUGUGUGGAUAGCAGCAGUUCUGUCCUUGUACCAACGAGUUGUUUGGGAGUGGAUCAUUAAAUCUCUUUCGUAUGCUCCAUGUACUACCCAGGGCCUUCUUCAGGUUUUCACCACAGCAAUCUGGAACAGCUCUUGCUCCUUGGUCGACGUUGCAGGGAACUAAAAGCUUCCAUGCUUUUCACAACAUCCUACUGUCACUGGUACUUUCUUCAUUGUCAUGCUUCUUGGGUUCAAGUUCUGCCCUUGCCAGCCUCAUGGUAAUCUAUUUAAGUUUAGAGCAGGACUUCAAUUACGAGAAGACUGGAUUUUCAGGUGAACAAGUUUUCCUCUACCUUGAUAUUUUCUUUAUUAAAUUGAAACAGGAUUUUUAAGCUGCGCUGUAUAAAGUUGGUUAUUCUAGUCUCUACCUCAAAUUACUCUCUGAAGGAGUUCCUUCCAUUCCUAUCUUUAUGUGCAGUUGUGUGACUGCGUUGAUGGAGAGAGGUUCCCUGACAUGCCGUACAGUGAUGUGCGUGCUUGAUGCAUCUGUACUUCUAGUUGAAUGUCUACUUUUGAAGAUGAUGUCUUACAUGAGUUUGACUUAAGGGUUAGUGGAGGUUUUCAUGCAUGUCCUUUGCUUGAGGAUCGUGAUAAAAUGACCUGUGAUUUUCUAUGGUUUCGCACAAAAGUGUAA